rnacentral:rRNA from 1 species
CCUACGGGAGGCUGCAGUGGGGAAUAUUGGACAAUGGGGGGAACCCUGAUCCAGCCAUGCCGCGUGUGUGAAGAAGGCCCUCGGGUUGUAAAGCACUUUCAGUGAGGAAGAACGCCUGGUGGUUAAUACCCAUCAGGAAAGACAUCACUCACAGAAGAAGCACCGGCUAACGCCGUGCCAGCAGCCGCGGUAAUACGGAGGGUGCGAGCGUUAAUCGGAAUUACUGGGCGUAAAGCGCGCGUAGGUGGCUUGAUAAGCCGGUUGUGAAAGCCCCGGGCUCAACCUGGGAACGGCAGCCGGAACUGUCAAGCUAGAGUGCAGGAGAGGAAGGUAGAAUUCCCGGUGUAGCGGUGAAAUGCGUAGAGAUCGGGAGGAAUACCAGUGGCGAAGGCGGCCUUCUGGACUGACACUGACACUGAGGUGCGAAAGCGUGGGUAGCAAACAGGAUUAGAUACCCUGGUAGUC